CCUUCACGCCUUAUUCUAGUUUUCUGGAUUUCCUUAGUUAACCUUCGCCUGUUUAUUGGAUUUGGAUUGUUUGCUCGGACUGCCUUUUUGUGAAUGAUCCAGUUUUUGACAGUAAAAGACAAAGAGAACUGUAGGAAUCUGACCUGAGUGAAGCCAGCUGCGAAAAGUGAGGCUGCAGUUCUGCUUGUCAAAGGGAAAGGCGUACAUCUCCAGGCUGCAGGCCAACACCACCUGCAUGGGCCGGUUGUUCUUCACCGAUCCAGAGGAGUUGACGUAAAUGUAGGGGAUCGGGGGGGACUUCCCUUCAUCCACACUGUGGACACAUGUGACGGAGAAGGGGGGUAAGGUAUCCAGAUGGCAUCAGAUGACAGAGAGAUCUCAGUGAUGCCAUCAAACUCUUCAGGAUCCCAAACCAGGAACUCGUCUGUCCAGACCUGGAAGAAG